rnacentral:rRNA from 1 species
AAAUUGAAGAGUUUGAUCAUGGCUCAGAUUGAACGCUGGCGGCAGGCCUAACACAUGCAAGUCGAACGGUAACAGGAAGCAGCUUGCUGCUUCGCUGACGAGUGGCGGACGGGUGAGUAAUGUCUGGGAAACUGCCUGAUGGAGGGGGAUAACUACUGGAAACGGUGGCUAAUACCGCAUAACGUCGCAAGACCAAAGAGGGGGACCUUCGGGCCUCUUGCCGUCAGAUGUGCCCAGAUGGGAUUAGCUUGUUGGUGAGGUAACGGCUCACCAAGGCGACGAUCCCUAGCUGGUCUGAGAGGAUGACCAGCCACACUGGAACUGAGACACGGUCCAGACUCCUACGGGAGGCAGCAGUGGGGAAUAUUGCACAAUGGGCGCAAGCCUGAUGCAGCCAUGCCGCGUGUAUGAAGAAGGCCUUCGGGUUGUAAAGUACUUUCAGCGGGGAGGAAGGUGUUGUGGUUAAUAACCGCAGCAAUUGACGUUACCC